UUACAUUAAAGCUGUUUCCAAGGAAGUAGAAUGGAUUGACUAGCUUUUCUAUACUUAUGCCGAUAGCUCAUCUGGCAUGAUUGACCCAGAAGGCAUCAAAAUUAUUUCCUCUCAUCUUGAGUUUCCCCAUACCGAGGCUCGGAUUCUGAUGUUAGCAUGGAAAAUGGAAAAUGGGCUGUAAAGCAAGGUUAUUUACUCUGGUGUGCAUUAUUUUUAAACUAUUAAAAAUGUUUAUCUCUAUAAUAUCAUAGUCAUUUUGAAGUUUUACUGGCAUGAAAGCUCUGUGAGCUGAUAGUAUUAGUAAGCUGAAGAAGUCAUUCCCCGAACUAACCAAAAAAGUGAGUAGUCCAUAAGUAUGUAAUUAGUAGUUAAUUAUAUUUGAAAGGUUUGUAUUUGUGACGGGUGAAAUAACAGCUGAAUGUUUGGGUUAAUAGAUAGGUUGUAAGUAUGUAACUUGCGUUGUCGUCGGGCCUGAGAUAUUUUGCCUGAAAGGUUGUCAUGCAGUUUCAGCCCAAAAUUUAAUGUUUAAUGGUCUGUAAGUUCAGUGCCACAGAUCAGCUGCAAAUGAGUAUCCAGCCUCUCUAUCGCCUAUGAGGUUUCUACGCUGGGCUCAAGGCUUUGUUCUAUUACAUGUGAAAGGCUCGCGGUUUAUCUGAACAGAAAACAAUAGAUGGUGUUACUUGGAUUUUUUUAU